GGCUCCCUAAUGUAGUGGUAAUCACGUCUGCUUUACACUCAGAAGGUCCUAGAUUCGUGCCCUAGGUGGAGCCA
rnacentral:tRNA from 1 species